UUUUAAAUGGUUAUGUGGUUAUAAAGAAAUAUGCACAGAGAGCAGCAGCAACAGAAUGGAAGACCGGGGACGAGGAUAGAAGUAUAGCAUAGGGACGCAUGAUUUUAAAUAAUAUAUUAGUUUUUAUAAAAUAAUUGUUGCAUGAUUUAAGGCAAAACACUUUUGGCGGUGACUCUGAAAAUCAAAUAAAUUAAUAAAAAUCUCAAUUUCAAAAGUAAAACAAAUCCAUCACAUGAAACCUAUAAAAUGUCAUUUCCCAUACAGUCUGAAGCAAAUUUCAUUAAUGCAAUUACAAUUUUACAUAACAAAAGCCACAUUAUCAUGUGUUCUGACCACAGCAGAAUCUUUGUGCUUUUUUGCAACACUGAUUAUAAAAUCAAAACUUAAAAAAAAUCAUAAGGUGCACAAUUUUGUUGAUCUAUAAAAA